rnacentral:rRNA from 1 species
UACGUAGGGUGCGAGCGUUAAUCGGAAUUACUGGGCGUAAAGCGUGCGCAGGCGGUUAUGUAAGACAGGUGUGAAAUCCCCGGGCUUAACCUGGGAACUGCGCUUGUAACUGGCAAGCUAGAGUGUGGCAGAGGGGGGUGGAAUUCCACGUGUAGCAGUGAAAUGCGUAGAGAUGUGGAGGAACACCGAUGGCGAAGGCAGCCCCCUGGGCUAACACUGACGCUCAUGCACGAAAGCGUGGGGAGCAAACAGG